GCCUACACAUGCAAGCCGAGCGGUAGAGAUCUUUCGGGAUCUUGAGAGCGGCGUACGGGUGCGGAACACGUGUGUAACCUGCCUUUAUCAGGGGGAUAGCCUUUCGAAAGGAAGAUUAAUACCCCAUAAUAUAUUGAGUGGCAUCACUUAAUAUUGAAAACUCCGGUGGAUAGAGAUGGGCACGCGCAAGAUUAGAUAGUUGGUGAGGUAACGGCUCACCAAGUCUGCGAUCUUUAGGGGGCCUGAGAGGGUGAUCCCCCACACUGGUACUGAGACACGGACCAGACUCCUACGGGAGGCAGCAGUGAGGAAUAUUGGACAAUGGGUGCGAGCCUGAUCCAGCCAUCCCGCGUGAAGGACGACGGCCCUAUGGGUUGUAAACUUCUUUUGUAUAGGGAUAAACCUACUCUCGUGAGAGUAGCUGAAGGUACUAUACGAAUAAGCACCGGCUAACUCCGUGCCAGCAGCCGCGGUAAUACGGAGGGUGCAAGCGUUAUCCGGAUUUAUUGGGUUUAAAGGGUCCGUAGGCGGAUCUGUAAGUCAGUGGUGAAAUCUCACAGCUUAACUGUGAAACUGCCAUUGAUACUGCAGGUCUUGAGUGUUGUUGAAGUAGCUGGAAUAAGUAGUGUAGCGGUGAAAUGCAUAGAUAUGGGUUUAAAGGGUCCGUAGGCGGAUCUGUAAGUCAGUGGUGAAAUCUCACAGCUUAACUGUGAAACUGCCAUUGAUACUGCAGGUCUUGAGUGUUGUUGAAGUAGCUGGAAUAAGUAGUGUAGCGGUGAAAUGCAUAGAUAUUACUUAGAACACCAAUUGCGAAGGCAGGUUACUAAGCAACAACUGACGCUGAUGGACGAAAGCGUGGGGAGCGAACAGGAUUAGAUACCCUGGUAGUCCACGCCGUAAACGGUGCUAACUCGUUUUUGGGUUUUCGGAUUCAGAGACUAAGCGAAAGUGAUAAGUUAGCCACCUGGGGAGUACGAACGCAAGUUUGAAACUCAAAGGAAUUGACGGGGGCCCGCACAAGCGGUGGAUUAUGUGGUUUAAUUCGAUGAUACGCGAGGAACCUUACCAAGGCUUAAAUGGGAAAUGACAGGCUUAGAAGUGANAUGNCAGGCUUAGAAAUAGGCUUUUCUUCGGACAUUUUUCAAGGUGCUGCAUGGUUGUCGUCAGCUCGUGCCGUGAGGUGUUAGGUUAAGUCCUGCAACGAGCGCAACCCCUGUCACUAGUUGCCAUCAUUAAGUUGGGGACUCUAGUGAGACUGCCUACGCAAGUAGAGAGGAAGGUGGGGAUGACGUCAAAUCAUCACGGCCCUUACGCCUUGGGCCACACACGUAAUACAAUGGCCGGUACAGAGGGCAGCUACACUGCGAAGUGAUGCAAAUCUCGAAAGCCGGUCUCAGUUCGGAUUGGAGUCUGCAACUCGACUCUAUGAAGCUGGAAUCGCUAGUAAUCGCGCAUCAGCCAUGGCGCGGUGAAUACGUUCCCGGGCCUUGUACACACCGCCCGUCAAGCCAUGGAAGUCUGGGGUACCUGAAGUCGGUGACCGUAACAGGAGCUGCCUAGGGUAAAACAGGUAACUAGGGCUAAGUCGUAACAAGGUAGCC
rnacentral:rRNA from 1 species